GUGAUUGUUGUUGUUGUUGAUUGUUUUGGCCGAGUUAAAUUCUCGGGGAUGCUAUAUGUAUAGGGGAGAUGCUGCCCAAAUUUCUGUAGGCAAUUAUGAAUAAAGAUUGAAUACUUAAAGAUUGGAAAUUGAGAAUUGGUAAAUGUGACCAAUUGCAGAUUUUGGGCGAAACGGGAAUUGAAUUUGGAAAGGCGUAAAGAGCAUAUAAGGUACCGACGACAGGUUUGCUGAUCCGUCCGCUUAGGAUCUUAUUCUGCUAUUUUGGAGCGCUCCUUUAUCCGGAGCCUAUAUUUUGGUACAAUCUUCUGCUAUUGUAUAUAUGUACGCUAUUCAGGGGUACGACGGGGCCCUGUCCCAUCUUAUGAUUCUGUUAUGUUCUGUAGAGGUCUGUAGACAUACUUGUGUGGGUUCUGUAUAUGUUUUGGGUUGUUAUGAUCGGUGAUGGCCUUAUCGGCCUCUACGUGCAAAAUCUGUUCAUCUGUGAUAUUUAGUAGCGCCAACUAACCUUUAUAUUAAUAUAUUUUGAUAA